rnacentral:rRNA from 1 species
UAAGGAAUAUUGGUCAAUGGACGCAAGUCUGAACCAGCCAUGCCGCGUGGAGGAUGAAGGCCCUCUGGGUUGUAAACUUCUUUUCUUUGGGACGAAACCCCUAUUUCUAUGGGGACUGACGGUACCAGAGGAAUAAGCACCGGCUAACUCCGUGCCAGCAGCCGCGGUAAUACGGAGGGUGCAAGCGUUAUCCGGAUUCACUGGGUUUAAAGGGAGCGUAGGUGGACUUUUUAAGUCAGUGGUGAAAUCUCUGGGCUUAACCCGGAAACUGCCAUUGAUACUAUUAGUCUUGAAUUCUCUGGAGGUAAGCGGAAUAUGUCAUGUAGCGGUGAAAUGCUUAGAUAUGACAUAGAACACCCAUUGCGAAGGCAGCUUACUACGGAGACAUUGACACUGAGGCUCGAAAGCGUGGGGAGUCAAACAGGAUUAGAUACCCUGGUAGUCCACGCCCUAAACGAUGAUUACUCGACAUUAGCGAUAUUACUGUUAGUGUCUAAGACG